UUAAUAAUUCUUCGUAAUAAAUUUAUUAAUAAUUCCUCGUUAAUAGUAAAAAUCCCAAGUCGACUACAGCAUUUGCACCAUCUCAUAUUAUUGCUAUUGUUAUAUUAUCGUAUACGUACACUGCUCUCUAAAACAUCCUCGCAAACCGGUGUCUAGUCGAAAAUAUUCGAUAAAAGCGAGAAAUGUUCAGAAAAUGAUAUUCUUGUUUCGCGAAGCGCCAGAUUCUCAGAAAUCGUUCGAGGAUCUGAUUCUCAAAAUCGUGUCGAUAAUUUUUUCCCCCAACAAGCAAUAAUUUCGCGACGUCACCGAAAUGUGCGCCCGAGAAUAAAUAAAUCGGCGAAGCUCCUAUGCGAUUUCCGCGAUUUCUCGUCAUUGAAUAUCUAGGUAAACAUAAAGUAUGGCAUAGUGACCAUAAUUCUGGAUUAUCGGCGACUUCUAAGUGCGUUGCGGGGGAAGUCGCCGCAUCAUCGUUCGAUGAGGCCCUUCGAUAAGUGGGCCUUGAAAAAAGCGGCAACGUGAAAACGGAGCAUCGGUUUUAUUCGCGCGCGAAUAAGCUCCCGCGAUUCUCGCGUUUUACCGAAAUGCGUCAAAAGUGUAUCUAAAAUUUCGACGUCGCCGCUCGUCGCGAACGAAAAAAGUAACGCGAGUGCAAAGUGUUUCGAAAACUUCUACGAGGACAGUUCCCAAGGUUGGUUUCCUUCAGAAAAAAUGCCGAUCAGGAAUCCAGAAUACGUCGACACCAGAGAAGAAGGACAAUCGAAAUAUCAACUCUGAUGAUUUUUCCAACUUUUGAGGAGAAGGAGAAAGCAGGUCUGUGAGAGACAUCAGGCGCUGGCGGAGCAACUCUGGGACAACGUAGCUUCGCUAUUAACUCCGCUACUACGGUUGGUGAGUGCUAGUUUUUUAUUAUGAGGUAACGAUUUGGUGUAUAUUUAGUUGUAGAGACGUAAAUUUUAGAUUGUAGAUUGUAAACUGUUGUUUGUAGAUUCGUUAUUUCAAAAUAAGUACACAAUAGAUUAGGAUAUUAACCAUCGUAUAAAGGAAACUAUAUUUGAUCAAAGUGUUAUUGAGUUAAUUAUCCAACAUGACAAGAGCGAAAUUUUUGUCAGAUCCCAUUAUUGUUGAUAUAUUUGUUUGACCGUAAUUUAGCUUUUUAUUUAAUCGUUAGACUACUCUAUAGUAAAAAAACUUUAGUAUGCCAAAUAUUCUUUCUUUAAAUUAAAAGAAUUUAUAUUAAUAAUUUUUGUGAUAAAUUUAAUAAUAAUUUCUCGUUAAUAGUAAAAAUCCCAAGUCGACUACAGCAUUUGCGCCAUCUCAUAUUAUUGCUAUUGUUAUAUUAUCGUAUACGUACACUGCUCUCUAAAACCUUCUCGCAAACCGGUGUCCAGUCGAAAAUAUUCGACAAAAGCGAGAAAUGUUCAUAAAAUGAUAUUCUUGUUUCGCGAAGCGCCAGAUUUUCGAAACUCGUUCGAGGAUCUGAUUCUCGAAAUUGCGACAAUUUUUUUCCCGAACAAGCGAAAUUCCGCGACGUCUCCGAAAUAUGCGCCCGAGAAUAAAUAAAUCGGCGAAGCUCCUAUGCGAUUUCCGCGAUUUCUUCGUCGUCGAAUAUCUAGGUAAACAUAAAGUAUAGCAUAGUGAUCAUAAUUCUGGAAUAUCGGCGACUUCUAAGUGCGUUGCGGUGGAAGUCGCCGCAUCAUCGUUCGAUGAGGCCCUUCGAUAAGUGGGCCUUGAAAAAAGCGGCGACGUGAAAACGGAGCAUCGGUUUUAUUCGCGCGCGAAUAAGCUCCCGCGAUUCUCGCGUUUCACCGAAAUGCGUCGAAAGUGUCAUAUCUAAAAUUUCGACGUCGCCGCUCGUCGCGAACGAAAAAAGUAACGCGAGUGCAAAGUGUUUCGAAAACUUCUACGAGGACAGUUCCCGAGGUUGGUUUCCUUCAGAAAAAAUGCCAGCGAGGAA